rnacentral:rRNA from 1 species
AACGAACGCUGGCGGCGUGCCUAACACAUGCAAGUCGAACGGAAUUAGAGAGCUUGCUCUUUAAUUUAGUGGCGCACGGGUGAGUAACGCGUAGAUAAUCUGCCUGACGAUCUGGGAUAACACUUCGAAAGAGGUGCUAAUACCGGAUAAGCCCACGGGUUCUUUGGAAUCUGCGGGAAAAGGGGGGGACCUUCGGGCCUUCUGUCGUCAGAUGAGUCUGCGUACCAUUAGCUAGUUGGUAGGGUAAAGGCCUACCAAAGCGACGAUGGUUAGCUGGUCUGAGAGGAUGAUCAGCCACACUGGAACUGAGACACGGUCCAGACUCCUACGGGAGGCAGCAGUGGGGAAUUCUGCGCAAUGGGCGAAAGCCUGACGCAGCAACGCCGCGUGAGUGAUGAAGGCUUUCGGGUCGUAAAGCUCUGUCAAUGGGAAAGAAGUGUAUUUGGGCUAAUAUCCUUAAUACUUGACGGUACCCAUAAAGGAAGCACCGGCUAACUCCGUGCCAGCCGCCGCAGUAAAAC